rnacentral:misc_RNA from 1 species
CGCAUCUACCUCUCCAUCUACAACUGGACCGUCUUCGCAGGCUGGUUCCAGGUCCUCUACCUCGCUCUAACCACACUCCGCGACGCCGAUCACACCGCCGUCUACGACGCCGUCGAGCGGCCGCUCCAGCUCGCGCAGACGGCAGCCGUCCUCGAGAUUAUUCAUGGCAUCGUCGGGUUGGUGAGAUCUCCGGUGUCGGCCACGCUGCCGCAGAUCGGGUCGAGGCUGUAUUUGACGUGGGGGAUCUUGUGGAGCUUCCCCGAGACUCGGACGCAUAUUCUUGUUACUUCUUUGGUUAUCAGCUGGUCUAUUACAGAGAUUAUCAGGUACUCUUUCUUUGGUCUGAAGGAGACGCUUGGGUUUGUACCUUCAUGGCUCUUAUGGCUGAGGUAUAGCACCUUCUUACUGCUG